CAAAUUAAAGCUUAAUAGAAAGUUUUUUAUUUACAUUAAAAAGAUUGCUGUGCAAUUCAGUUAAUUUGA
rnacentral:tRNA from 1 species